rnacentral:rRNA from 1 species
AAAGAUUAAGCCAUGCAUGUCUAAGCACAAGCCCUUGAAUGGUGAAGCCGCGAAAAGCUCAUUACAACAGCCAUAGUUUAUUGGAUCUUUACCUUCUUACACGGAUAACUGCGGUAAUUCUGGAGCUACUACGUGCAUUAAACGACGACCUUACGGAAGUCGUGCAUUUGUUAGACCAAACCAAUCGGUCUUCGGACCGCCAUUUGGUGAACUCUGAAUAACUUUGCUGAUCGCACAGUCUCGUACUGGCGACAAAUCUUUCAAGUGUCUGCCUUAUCAACUUUCGAUGGUAGUUUAUACGCCUACCAUGGUUGUAACGGGUAACGGAGAAUAAGGGUUCGACUCCGGAGAGGGAGCCUGAGAAACGGCUACCACAUCCAAGGAAGGCAGCAGGCGCGCAAAUUACCCACUCGCAGAACGCGGAGGUAGUGACGAAAAAUAACGAGGUGGCUCUCUACGAGGUCCGCCAUCGGAAUGGGUACAAUUUAAAUCCUUUAACGAGGAUCUAUUGGAGGGCAAGUCUGGUGCCAGCAGCCGCGGUAAUUCCAGCUCCAAUAGCGUAUAUUAAAGUUGUUGCGGUUAAAAAGCUCGUAGUUGGAUCUGCGUUCGGUGAAAGCGGUCGCCCGACGGGUUGUACUGCUUCUCCCGAACUAAUCAUUCGGUUUUCCCUUGAUGCUCUUCAUUGAGUGUCCUGGGUGACCGGAACUUUUACUUUGAAAAAAUUAGAGUGCUCAAAGCAGGCGAUUCGCCCGAAUAUUCGUGCAUGGAAUAAUGAAAAAGGUCCUUGUAGCCUUUUAUUGGUUAUUGCUAUGAGGAAAUGAUCGAAGGGGACAGACGGGGGCAUUUGUAUUGCGACGUUAGAGGUGAAAUUCUUGGAUCGUCGCAAGACAAACUACUGCGAAAGCAUUUGCCAAGAAUG